rnacentral:sRNA from 1 species
UAAACCGUGAUCAAGUAAACGCUGGUAAA